GGACUCGCGGCCUAUCAGCUUGUUGGUGAGGUAAUGGCUCACCAAGGCGACGACGGGUAGCCGGCCUGAGAGGGUGACCGGCCACACUGGGACUGAGACACGGCCCAGACUCCUACGGGAGGCAGCAGUGGGGAAUAUUGCACAAUGGGCGAAAGCCUGAUGCAGCAACGCCGCGUGAGGGAUGACGGCCUUCGGGUUGUAAACCUCUUUUAGUAGGGAAGAAGCGAAAGUGACGGUACCUGCAGAAAAAGCACCGGCUAACUACGUGCCAGCAGCCGCGGUAAUACGUAGGGUGCAAGCGUUGUCCGGAAUUAUUGGGCGUAAAGAGCUCGUAGGCGGUUUGUCGCGUCUGCUGUGAAAUCCCGAGGCUCAACCUCGGGCUUGCAGUGGGUACGGGCAGACUAGAGUGCGGUAGGGGAGAUUGGAAUUCCUGGUGUAGCGGUGGAAUGCGCAGAUAUCAGGAGGAACACCGAUGGCGAAGGCAGAUCUCUGGGCCGUAACUGACGCUGAGGAGCGAAAGCGUGGGGAGCGAACAGGAUUAGAUACCCUGGUAGUCCACGCCGUAAACGUUGGGCGCUAGAUGUAGGGACCUUUC
rnacentral:rRNA from 1 species